GUGUCCCCCUGUAAAUUGACGAAAUUACCCCCACCCCUAAUUAAACCCCCCAGCCUUUCAUUCAAAACCCGAGAAUUUCCUCUGUUUAAGCGUACAUACUUUUCUCUCUCAUACUUUCUCUCCUCCUACUCAGCCGUCGCCGAUCAACGCCAUCACCACCAUCAGUCUGGUCGGCCCUCCUUGCUCUUGACCGUCACCACCAACAAUCUCACGCAAUUUUCUCUAUCAUAUCCUCCAAUCUUUUGCCUCAAUUUUCUCUCUCCUAUGAUUUGCAUUUCAAUUAUUUCGUAAUUAUUCUGGGGUCUUUGUUUUUCUGGAAGAUUGAGUUGUUGGUUGGAGAUAUUGGUUUUGGUUCAUUCCUUGAUUUUCCAUUUAUCUGUAAGUUUCUUCGAUCCUAUUUAUUUUAUGUUUCCGAUCUUAGAUUUGAUUUUAACUGUUCCGUUUCAAUCGUUGUUAUUUAUAGUUUUUGUUUGAUUUGGAUCUAGAGUUUGUGUAUUUUCGAUAUCAUGCAAAUUGUUUAGGGAUAUUUCAUCUAGGAUUUUAUGCAUGCAAUCUGUUUAUGUAUUUGAUAAUUUUGGCUGUAAUUUUCUGUUGUUUGAGUUUUAAUUCUAUAGAUCUGAUUUCUUUUGUUGUUUUUGUUCCAUUUAAGUUUUUUGUUAUUAAUUGCAGUCGGAAUCUGUGAAAUUGUUGAAACAUUGUCAAUACUGUGUUUACGUUUUUCAAUUAGGUAUGUUUUGAGAAAAUUAAUUAUAUUAUUUUUAACGGCAAGUAAUUGAAUGUGGUGUUUUUGUUUAAUAUUUGGGCUAUUUUCUUUGGUUACCUAAUCAAUUCGACUAGGUCUGCCAAAGAAUUUGAAUUAUUAGUGAAAUUAGGCUAUAAUUUUUACAAUGUCUUCCUUGAUCUACUUUAUGAAAGCCCGUUGUAAUUUGAAUAAAUAUAUGUGAAACUCAGUUUUUAUUUUGUGAAUUUGAGUUUUAAUUUCACAAGUUAAGCCCGUCUUCAGUUUACUCUUUCCCUAUAAAAUCGGCUUUGAUAUUGAUGUUUUAUAUUAUAAUUCGAUUGGAUUUCUGUUUUCGAUUGAUCAGGGCCUUCUUAAAGAUUCUAGGGGCCUGUUCUAAAAUUAAAAUUGGGCCAUUCUCUGAGUAUCAAUUAGCUCAUAAUUUAGAAAUCACAAUAAAAUUUAAACAAUUUAACAAUAUUGAAGUGCCAUAUAUAGUAACAAAGUGAUUUAUUUUCAGAACUUCCUCCAAGGCUCUGCUCCAACUUUUGAUUUCUCUUCAAAUACACCAGUUAUAUGUGUACAUCAUUUUUGUAUAAUUAGAGUACUGUUAUUCUAUUAAAUAUAGGAGUAGGAAAAAAGAUUAUACAUUACUGGAAAAAAUCAGAACGUUUGAUGAGAAACAUUUAAUGGGAAUUGAUUUUUAGAUGUUCAUAGCCAUUAAGAAAAAUAUGUAUUUUUCCGUUGACAAUUGGGAGAUUAAUGGGAAUUGGAAUACUUUAUUUUAGUAAUUUGAAGUAGAAUUGUUGGAGAAAAUGGAAGAUCAAAGAAGAUGGAAGAUUGAUGAUGAUGGCGUGAGAAACAAUGAGGAAGCUGGCUUUCCUCAUUAGGAAGAUAAAAGAGAAUGCAGCUUCCCAAUGUAAGUUGGGCUUCUUGAACUCCCUCAUCAACGGGCAUGCGAUUGAUGUUCAUAAAUUCCUGUUUUCGAGUUUGCAAGUGAAGAGUGAAUGUUCUAAUGGAAUCAAAAGGUGGUAAAGACGGUUCCAGUAGUAGUAGUAAAUCAUUGCUAUACGUCAGCACCACUCGCUUACACCAUUGAAUACGUUCGACCAAAGAGAGGAGUCAAGAAAUUCAGAUCUACUUCUUACUCAAACAUAAGCUAAAAGUAAAAUGAGUUGCGUUCUAAGAAGUGAAGUCACAUCCAGUUAUGGAGACCAUCUAGCAUUCAAUACUGCGGUGCAAGAAGUGAAGCCACAAAUUUUGUGGCAUACUAUUUGUAAGAUAUGAUAACUCUGUAUCUUUGCAUUCAUAGAUUAGGAGUAUAAAUAUACAAUGUACAAUUAAGGCAAUAUUCUGCCAUGAUAAUCAGCAAUCAUGUUGCUAAUUUACAGCAAUA